rnacentral:antisense_RNA from 1 species
CUGUAUGUUUUAUUACUCUUUUUAGUGGUGGAAUUUUUAUUAGUCCUUUUGCAAAUUUUGAGAAUUUUAACAUCUACUUUUUCCCCUCGUUCUUUCCAAAUGAAAACUGUUACCAUUAUUUCUGUUUUGAAAGUAGUAUCAAAGGCUGUCUAUUUAUGUGAGCAACAUGCCAAAUAUUUUGAUAGCUUGUACUCUAUCUCACCCAUUCCAUAUUUUGGUAUAAUUAUUAGGGAGCAGAUCAGAAAUUUUGCUACAUCUGAUCAAUAAUUAUGAUUUUUCUUAACCUUAGAGAAAUUAGAACUGUGUCAUUCAGUGAUGUGUAAUACUAAUACAUAGUUUUAAUAUCUUUGGUUAUUUCAACCACAAAACUCUCUAGUAGCUAAUUUUAAGACUUAUGUUAAUUAUCAAAACUGCAGUGUCUCACUGUGUAACCAUUUCUGAGGCACCUGUAAAUAAUAUCUGAUGUUACAGAGAUGAUCCCAGAAAAAGCCUUCAGUGAAGGAAAAAACUUAAAACUUACUACACACGUAGCCUCAUCAAAUUUGUUUCCCCAAAUGUAGAUAUGAGAGAAAGUGAGAUUUGUUUUCAUUGAUUGUGAAAGUGCAACAAGUCCUUCUCCCUCUAUGUUGUUGCUGACUACUGACAACCUGAAACCAAUAAUUCCACAAGGAAAGAAUACAAAAAUUAGCAACAUUUAUUACAAACACUUUCUUGUGUAGUCUUAGCAUUAUUCUUCAGUAUGUUGUAAUGUAGUGGUAAAAAUACUGACCAUUUAAUUCCUAAAAUCCAAGAAACUUAGUUUUCUAAUUAGAUCCUUAAGGUACUUAGUAGAGCUAACUACAUUUUGAAAGUCUUCUGUUUUAUAUUAUUCAGUAAAUGUUUGGGUGGAUAGCAGAUAUAUUUUUCUGGAUAAAUGCAUCCAAGUAUUUUAUUCUUUAGUUCAUUCUUAUUUUUAAAAGUCUUGAUCAUAUUGAAUGCUUCUGAGUUUUCUAUUAGAAUUCAGGAUAAGUAAUAUAAGCAAUACAAAUUUUCUCAUUAAUUUGAAGGAAUCGUUAAUAGAAUCAGUCUAAUUGUAAAAGACAUUACAUUUGAAAAAUAGAAAUGUAAAUGUUUACUGUAACUUAAUACUAUGUCAGUUUAGAAGCUGAGUUUUCAUAUUUCAUUAUAAUCUUAAGAGUUAAGGGGAUUGAGGUUAGUGUUUAAAAAUUUGCUUUUCUGUUAUUUUGAUUAAAUAUAAAACCAUACUAAC